CUCGAAGUUGGCUCAACCGACCGAGCCACCCAGGCGCCCCCUGAGAUUUUUCAUUACUGAUUCACUUUCUUUGUCAUAGGUCUCAUCAGAUUUUCUGUUUCCUCUUGAGUCAGCUGUGGUAGUUUGUGUGUUCUAGAAACUUGUGCACUUCACGUCGGGCAUCUAUCUGUUAGUGUGCAGCUGUCCACAGUAUUCCCACAGGGUCCUUUUGUCUCUGUAAAUAGUAAUAGGUAAACAGUAAUUUGCAGUCAUUCCUGAUUUUUAGGCCGGGAUUUUUAUAUGCCCAAUGACUUUUGAUCCGUUACAACAGCCGUUGUUCUUUUUGAUGUUUGAAUGAACUCACCCCUGCCCAGCAGGAUCCAUCGUGCAGCUCCUGAGUCCUGCUGACACAGUUCCCUGACCCUUCGUGGAGGCCUUGCCUUAUGAAACCUCAAGAUGCCCCAGGCUGGUCACACACACUCCCUGCCUCGACCCGGGAUCAGUUCUUCAGAGCCAGACCCCACACGUGCACGGUCCCUCUACCUGCAUCGCCCUGUGGUUCGGCUGUUUAAUCUUUAGGUCUUGACGCCUUCGCGGCACCCCCAGACGUGGCCAGGCUUCUCCUUCAGUACUUGGUCUUUGUGGUAUUUAGCACGAGGUGGCUGGCGAUGGCCUGUUAAGGUCUGGGCCUGCUGCUCCCGGGGAUGAUCCGAGUCCGGGCCUCGGUGACGCUCGUGAGGCCGGACACCAGCUGCAGUGACGGAGGUAGACGGGGCACCUGGGGGGCUCAGUCGGCUGGGCGUCCGACUUCGGCUGAGGUCGUGAUCUUGCGGUUCGUGAGUUCGAGCCCCACGUUGGGCUCGCUGCUGCCCGCGAAGAGUCCGCUUCGGGUCCUCUGCCCCUCUCUCUGCCCCUUCCCCACUGGCGCUCUCUCAAAAAUGAAUAAACAUUAAGAAGGAGGCAGGGCCUGGGGUCGUUGUGAUGCUACUGAGCCCCAACCGCAGCUGUGUUUGCUGUCAGUACUCGGCCUUUUCAAGUACACAGUGAAAGAAGAGUAACAAAGAGCCCUGUUUUCUUAAGUCAGCAAGAAUCAGGUUGAAGUCUUGCAGCUAAGAGUCCAAACUUAAAAAAUGAUCUUCUCCAAGCUUUUCAGGAUUUUUGUCCCCGACACCUGUUACCAUGACAACCAUACAUAUUGUGAUGAGUUAGUGCCACGAAUCCAGGAGGUGAAGAGGAAGCUUAUGGGAUUUGUCUCCCCCAAGCUUAUGCGUUUCAGUGUUUUGAGAUUAGAUCUCCCAGCCAUUAUAAAGUUCCGGAUGUUUCCCCGAGCAAGGGCAGCCUUGGGGCGGGGGGGGGGAGGGGUUAAACCCCGUAUGUGCAGGCAGCAGUGCAGGAAGAAUCCAAACAAGUGUGUCUACACUGGCCUGGGAUAUCUUCCUAACUUCUGGGUGUGUUUACUCUGCUUUGGGAUUUUCCCCUCGUUCAUGACCAGGGAUGUCUCUCUAAUUCCAUGGGUCCGUCUACACUGGCCCUGCAGAUCUCCCUCAUUCCCAGGAGUUGCUAUACUGAACUGGUGUGUCUACUCCAAUCUGGAAUGUCUCUUACUCCAGCGUGUAUCUGCCUUAAAGCUGGAUGUCUCCCCAAUUCACUGUGUCCACACUGACCAGGGAGAUCUCCCUCAUUGCCCAGCUGUGUCAACUCUGAGGAUGUCUCCCUCAUUUCCUAGGUGGGUCCACAAUAGCCUGAGAUGUCUCCCUAAUUCCUCCUGUGUGUAAACAGGUCUUGGGAUGUUCUGUUAAAUCCCAAGGUAUGUGUCCUGACCUGGGAUCCCAAUUCCAUAGAUGUGUCAACAAGGACUCGGGAUAUCUCCUUAAUUCUUCUGUGUGUCUACUCUGACAAGGGUUAUUUACCUAAUUCUUCGGUUUUGUCUGCAAUGAACUAGAUGCCUUCCUAACUGCCUGUGUGUUUACACUGACCUGUGACACAUCUCGAAUUUCACAGGAUUGUAUACCCUGGCUUUGGAUGCCUCCGUGACUACUCAGGUAAGUCUACUCAGACCCGAGAGGCCAGUCUAAUAACCCAGGUGUGUCUCCACUGAUCUGGGAUGUUGGUGUAAAUCCCAAAUUGUGUCUACCGUGACCUGGGAUGUCUCCCUAGUUCCCAGGGUGUGAAUUCUAACCAGUGGUGUUUCCCUAAUUUCUCAUGUGUGUAUCCGUGACCCGGGAUGUCUCCAGAAUUCUCCUUAUGUGUCUACCAUGAUGGGAGAUGUCAAGCUGUUCCUUAACUUUGUCUUUGACCUCAGAUAGCUCCCUAAUUUUGCCCAGGUGUGCCUACCCGAACACGGAUGUCUACCUGAUUACCCAGACGUGUCAACUCUUACCAUGGAUAAUUGCAUAAUUCUCCAGUUGUAUCUACACUAACCUAGGCUGUUUCUCUUUCCCCACGUGUGUCCAACACAGUUUGGUUGUCUGCUCAAUUCCCUGGGCCUGUCCACACUGAUGAAGGGUGUCUCUCUAAUUCCUCAGGUUUGAUCACUCUGAAUUGGCUCGUAUCCCUUCUUUCCCGUGUGUGUACCCUGCCCAGUGAUGUCUCCCAAAUUUGCACACGUGUCUACUGUGAUGUGGAAUGUCUCCCUAACUCCCCAGGUUUGUGUUCACUGACCUGACCUGGGAAGUCUCCCUAAUUCCACAAAUGUGUCUACACUGACCUGCAAUACAUCUCUAGUUAUUCAGGAGUUUACCUUAUCAUAGGAUGUCUGCCUAAUUUCCCAGGAAUUUCUACACAGAAUGAGAAUGACUCCCUAGAACCCCAGGUGUGUCUGUUAUUACCUGGGGUGUUUCUCUUAAUUCCUCAGUUGUGCUUACACUGACUCGGGAGAUUUCCCAAAUCCCCCAGGUGUGUCUACACUGACCUGCAAUGUUUCCCUAAUCCCCCAGGUUAAUCUACUCUUAUCAAGGAUGUCUAAUUCCUUCAUUUCCACUUUGAUCUUGGACGUCUCCCUAAUUCCCUAGUAUUUCCUACCUGACGUGGGAUGUCUCCCUAACUCCCUAUUUGUGUCUACUUUAAUGUUAGCUGUCACUCUAAAUUUCCGGGUAUUUCUAAUUACCUGGGUAUCUCCCUCAUUUCCCAGGUGUGUCUGGGAUAGCUUCUCAUUGUCCAAGGGAUGUUUGUAUUGACCUUUGAUAUCAUCUUAAUUCCCCAGGUGUGUCUACACUGAACUAGUAAGUCUAUAGUUCCCUCAGGUAUGUCUGUUUUAUCUGAAAAGUCUCUCUAAAUCCUUUGGAAUAUCUAUACUGACCAGAAAUGUUUCCUUAAUUCCCAAGUUGUGACUACACUGAACUUGGAUGACUAAAUAUCUCCAAGAUAUUCUCCAAGAAUAUCUAUAUUUACCUAAGAUGUCCCUUGAUAUCUGCCUAAGAUCUCAGGUUGCCUACCCUGGCCAGCUCUGUCUCCAUGAUGAACCCCAUGUGUCUGUUCUGACCUGGAAUCUAGUGCCCGGUUUGGUUUCCUCGGACUUGGGAAUCUUCCUCGUUCCCCAGGUAUGUUGACUCUGACAUUGUAUGUCUCCCCAAAUUACUAGGUGCAUCUUCCCUGACCUGGCAUGACUUUCUAAUUCCCAGUUUUCUACACUGACACGAGAUGUCUCUCUUUUCCCUAAAAUGUGUUUACUCUGACCCAAAAUGUUGGAGCUGGUCACCAAGAGGAUGUGACCACCAGCUGACGCAUGAGCUACACCAGGCAACUGGAGACUCUUCACCCUCCCCACCCCCCACUCAUUAGCAUGUACCUUCUGCUCGCCUUCUCUGCUUUGUCCUCAGAAGGUGCCCCAGGGACAUAGCCUUCGAUGAUCGUGAUGUGGUGUUGAGACCAUCUAGAUGGUAAUAUGUGACUGAACCCAGUUAAGGUCUCUAUUUAAACUUUCAGGGUUUGGCGAGUGGGUGAAGAGAUCUACCCGUCAGCAUCUACCCAAGACAAGCCUGGAAUGUAAGUUCUCUUGCUUAUUAAACCCGCCACCUACCAACCUGGAAUGAUCUGCCUCUUUGUCUCUGCCCUCCAGGUAGGAAUGCUGGUCUCAGAUUUCACCUGGGAAGCUCCCAAGGUUGCAACCCUGACUCUCCAGGCAUGUUUACACUGACUUAAGAUGAUUCUCUGACUUCUCAGGUGAGUCAACACUGACUGGGGUCUUGUGUGCCUUCUCUGACCUGGUGUAUCUACGGAGAACCCCAGGUGUUUUUGCUUUAACCUUUUUUUUUUUUCCCCUCUCUCUGUAAAGAUGUGUCUACCCUGAUCUCUAACAUCCAAGUAUGUCCAUCCUGGCCUGGAACGUCUACUUUUCAAGAGCGUCUACCCUGACCUGGCUAUCCCGCUAGCUCUCCAGGUGUGUCUAUACUUGACUCGGUUGUCUACACCACUUUGGGACGUCUCCCUAAUCAUCUGGGUAUGUUUUCUCGAGAGCUAGCUCCUUAAUUCUAGCGGCGUGUCUACUCAAACCUCACGUGCCUCCCUAUCCCCUUGGAUUUUCUGAAAUAUCUCCCCGAUUUCAGGUGUGUCUGAACUGGUGGGGGAUAGAUCUAAUUCUCAGAGGUGUUGACUCUGUAACAGUUCGCCUGAGUCUGCAGUAGUGUCUGUCCUGACCAGUGAGGUCUCUCCAGAUCCUCAUGUGUAUCUACACUGACUUGGGGGGUCUUCUCUGACUCGGAGGUAUCUCUGUGUGUUUGCCUUCUCUUAUCUUGGAUGUCUUAUCACCAAGUGUCUCUGCCGUAAUCUGGGAUGUCCCCUAAUUCAAGCAUCCACCCUGAUCUGGGAUGUAUCCCAAAUUCCUCAGGUAUGUCUACCCUGACCUGGGGCAUUUCUCUAAUUCCCCAGGAAUGUCUACUCUGACCCAGGAUAUCUAUUUCCUAGGUGGAUCUAGACUUAACUGGGCUCCUCCCUAAUCCCCCAGGUUUGUCUAGUGAACUUAUGUCUCCCAAGUUCCCCAGGCAGGUCUACACCGACUUGGAAUGUCUCCCUAAUCCACAAGGUACUUCUCCUUUGGCCUGGGAUUGUCUCUGUCACCAGGUGUGUCCUAGACUCGAUUAUCUCUUGUUCCCGGGUGUUUCUGUAGCAACCUUGGACAGCUCCCCAGUUCCUCAGGUUUGCCUAAACGGACUUGAGAUGUUUCCUUAAUACCCAAAGUGUGUCUGUCCUGGCUUGGGAUGUCACUCUAGUUUUCAGGUACAUCUUCGGUGACCUGGAACGACUCCCUAUUUAUCCCCUGAUCUGGUUGUCUCUCUUCUCUGGCGUGUCAACACUCAUCUGGGAUGUUUAAUUCCCUAUUUGUAUCUGUUCUGACCUAGAAUGUCCCAUUGAUAUCCCAGGUAUGUCUACACUGACCUGAGAGGUCUAAUUCUCCAGGUGUGUUUACCCUGAACCGGGACUUUUCACUAAUUCCUCGGGUGUGUCUGUCCACCCAAUUAUGCUGGUGUGUCAGUGCUGAUCUGUGUGGUCUUGUUUUCCAAGUGUGUCUUCGCUGACAAGGAACGUCUCCUCUGUUCCCCUGAAAUGUCAACCAGGGAUGUCACCCUGACUCCCAGCUGUAACCGUCCUGAGCCGGAUUUCCUCCCUAAUUCACAAAAUGUGUCUACUCUUACCUGGCAUCUAUCUAUAUUUCCCCAUAUGCCUCUACUGACCUCAUAGGUCUCCCUAAAACCCCAGGUGUGUCUACACUGACCUGGGAGGGCUUUUUUGGGUGUGUGUAGUCUGACCAGAGAGGUCUCCUGAGUCUACGCUGAAUUGGCCUGUCUCCCUGGUUCCCAACGAAUGUCUACAUUGUCGCGGGAGGUCUCCCUUAGUCCCCGUGAGUUUCUCUGCUGACCUGGGAUGUCUCGUUUCCCGGCUGGGUCUACUCUGACCGGCGAGGUCUUGUCAACCUGACUUGGGAUGUCUCCCUAAUUCCCCGUUUUGUCUACGUUGACCUGAGAGCUCCCUGGCUCUACCUACUUUGACCUUCGAUGCCUUAUUCCCCAGGCUUGUCACUUCUUGCCUGGGAUGUCUGCCUAGGUCUCCAGGGUGUCCCCCUACUGUAGGAUGCCUUCUCACCCCCCUGCUUCGUCUGGUGUAUCUGCACCCACCUGGGAUGUCGAGUUCUCUAGGUGAGUCUACUAGAAAACUAAAAUCCAGAGCGCUUUACUUGAGCUGAGUAUUUUACUGAGAAACCAGCAUUUUGGAAAUGGGGACACAUUCAAACGGCAAGUGGCUACGAAGCGGCUCUCAGCUGUCACAGGCCCGUCUGUAAAGCAGGAAUGUGCAAGUCCAACACUUUCCAUUGUGACUGGAGUUGGUGACUGACAUGGCUUUUCAGUGCAUCAGCUUACUUGAAUAUAGCUGAUUAGCUGGGAAUCUGUAAAGUCAUGCUGACUCGAAGAAAGCUCAAGUGUUGUUUAAAAUUGGAGUUAUUAGCAUUUUUGGAAUCAGGACAGUUUUAAAAUCUGGUUAGGUGACUAUGAGUCUGGUAUGGGGGCAUACCCAACCUGUGGUCUCCAUUUGUUUUAUUUUUUUUAAUGUUUAUUUUAUUUUUGAGACAGAGACGGAGCAUGAGCAGGGGAGGGGCAGAGAGAGAGGGAGACAUGGAAUCCGAAACAGGCUCCAGGCUCCGAGCUGUCAGCACAGAGGCCCCCAGCGGGGCUCAGACUCGUCAACUGCAAGAUCGAGACCUGAGCCGGUUGGACACUCAACCUACUGAGCCACCCAGGCGCCCCUCGGUUUCAUUGGUCUUUUAAGAUUUUAUUUUACU